rnacentral:lncRNA from 10 species
UAGUGCUGCGCGGGGCAGGCGGGAGGUGAUCGAGAGAGGCAGGGAUGGGGGCGCCGGAGUGGAGCGGUUGCGGCGGCCUGGGCUGCUGACUGCGCACUUGGAAUAGUAGCAGGCGGCGGCGGCGGAACGCCAGGCAGUGUAUGUUUUAACUGGAAAAAGUCUUCCAUGAAAACGUCACUUUUAAAAAAUAAGUAAUGCCAUCUGUUUUCCUAAAAGACUGAAAUGGGGGCGACCAUUCUUAGAUCUUAAUGUCACCUCCUCAGAAGAAGAUAACCAGUCACUAUCAACUGCCAUAUUUUAAUUCUUUU